rnacentral:rRNA from 1 species
GACAGAGGGUGCAAACGUUGUUCGGAAUCACUGGGCGUAAAGCGCACGUAGGCGGACUUGUCAGUCAGGGGUGAAAUCCCGGGGCUCAACCUCGGAACUGCCUCUGAUACAGCAAGUCUUGAGUCCGGAAGAGGUGGGUGGAAUUCCUAGUGUAGAGGUGAAAUUCGUAGAUAUUAGGAAGAACACCGGUGGCGAAGGCGGCCCACUGGUCCGGUACUGACGCUGAGGUGCGAAAGCGUGGGGAGCAAACAGG